rnacentral:rRNA from 1 species
AAGUCGAGCGGACAGAUGGGAGCUUGCUCCCUGAUGUUAGCGGCGGACGGGUGAGUAACACGUGGGUAACCUGCCUGUAAGACUGGGAUAACUCCGGGAAACCGGGGCUAAUACCGGAUGCUUGUUUGAACCGCAUGGUUCAAACAUAAAAGGUGGCUUCGGCUACCACUUACAGAUGGACCCGCGGCGCAUUAGCUAGUUGGUGAGGUAAUGGCUCACCAAGGCAACGAUGCGUAGCCGACCUGAGAGGGUGAUCGGCCACACUGGGACUGAGACACGGCCCAGACUCCUACGGGAGGCAGCAGUAGGGAAUCUUCCGCAAUGGACGAAAGUCUGACGGAGCAACGCCGCGUGAGUGAUGAAGGUUUUCGGAUCGUAAAGCUCUGUUGUUAGGGAAGAACAAGUACCGUUCGAAUAGGGCGGUACCUUGACGGUACCUAACCAGAAAGCCACGGCUAACUACGUGCCAGCAGCCGCGGUAAUACGUAGGUGGCAAGCGUUGUCCGGAAUUAUUGGGCGUAAAGGGCUCGCAGGCGGUUCCUUAAGUCUGAUGUGAAAGCCCCCGGCUCAACCGGGGAGGGUCAUUGGAAACUGGGGAACUUGAGUGCAGAAGAGGAGAGUGGAAUUCCACGUGUAGCGGUGAAAUGCGUAGAGAUGUGGAGGAACACCAGUGGCGAAGGCGACUCUCUGGUCUGUAACUGACGCUGAGGAGCGAAAGCGUGGGGAGCGAACAGGAUUAGAUACCCUGGUAGUCCACGCCGUAAACGAUGAGUGCUAAGUGUUAGGGGGUUUCCGCCCCUUAGUGCUGCAGCUAACGCAUUAAGCACUCCGCCUGGGGAGUACGGUCGCAAGACUGAAACUCAAAGGAAAUUGACGGGGGCCCCGCACAAGCGGUGGGAGCAUUGGUGGUUUUAAUUCGAAGCAACGCGGAAGAACCCUUACCCAGGUUCUUUGACAUUCCUUCUUGACAUCCCUUAGAAGAAUAGGGACGUUCCCCCCAUUCGGGA